rnacentral:misc_RNA from 1 species
UCGUUUCCUUCUGAUAAAUAAUCAGUCAAGAGCAAUAAACAGGUGACAAUUAAGUACUCGUAAAGUGUGAUCCUUUAUAUCGCCCUUAACUCGCGGUAAAUGGAACUUGAAUAAAACAGAAACUUGAGACAAAGGCAUAUUGAUGUGCGCACACAUGUGCAUAGCUCUGGGGUAUAGUGGCGAAGAGAAUUCUGACGAAAACGGUGAGGCAGAAUCUGAAGGGGACAUUGACAC